AUCGGUGCCUGGAGGUAGAUUUUAAAGACUGUAGCUAGUAGCACCAUACAGGGAAACAGCUUGGCACCAGCGAAGUCCCAGAUUCACCAAUGCCAGCUCUUGCUAAUUACAGCCUGUGCUUCUCCAUCCAACCUCUGUGAUGGCUGCUACCAUGAGGAAAGGCUCAAGCUGCUCCGAGCCCACUUUUUAACAAGUGUUGGCCGUGGUGUUGGAUGCAGCCCGCUCUGGAGAGAGGUGGAGAGCCCAUAGGGAAGAGGUCGGGAGCAAGCCACAUGGCUUGCAUCGGGGAAUGGCACAUCUUGAACCCUUCAUAGGAAAGUUACAGCGUAAGGAAGGAAGUGCUUUGUUCAUCUUAUUGCUGGAGUCAUCUACGCACCGCAAGGAGAAGCGACACCGUCCCCAGCCUGCUGGAAAGCAGCCCUGCCACUGCCCCGGCUCUCGGCUGAAGCCCGGCUGGGGACGAGCGGGUGAGAACCCCGCAACCCCGGGAUCGGAUUGCAGCUGGCUCCUCCUCCGGAGCCUGCAGGGAGGGAAGCAGAGGCGGGGAGCUGGAGCCAGCAACUUCGCGCUGCCUACCUGCACCCUGCCAGCCGGGCUGGGGACCGCGCUGCGCGCCGGCAUCCUCCCAGCCCGCAUCCCAUGGGGGGUGCGUCUCCCCACCGCCGCCCGCCUCCGGCCCGGCAUGGAGAGCCUCAGCAACAGCCUGAAGAAGAAAGCCACGGAGCAGCACUACAGGGCUGAGGUGAUGAUUGCUGGAGAGCAGCUGAGGCUUCGCCUUCAUGACGGGAAGCUCAUUAAAGACAGACGUUACCACCUCCGAACAUAUCCAAACUGCUUCGUGGCGAAGGAGCUCACGGACUGGCUGAUUGACCACAAAGAAGCACCAGACCGAGAGACGGGCAUCCGCCUCAUGCAGAAGCUAAUGGACCAUUACAUCAUCCAUCACGUCUGCGACGAGCACUCGGACUACAAGGAUGCCAAGCUGCUGUACCGCUUCCGCAAGGAUGAUGGGACCUUCCCGCUCAGUAAAGACGUGAAAGUGUUCAUGAGAGGGCAGAGUCUUUAUGAGAAGCUGGUAAGCGUGGAAGAGUCAAUUCUGAAGGUGAGAGAGGAGAACUCAGUGAAGUAUCAGAGGGCUUUCCUGGGCUGCGAGAUGAUCGACUGGCUUGUUCAGGAGGGAGAAGUGGAGAACCGAAAGGAAGCGGUGGAGCUGGGACGGGCGCUGCUGGAACACGGGAUCAUUCAGCAUGUCUCCAAUAGGCAUCACUUCUUUGACAGUGACAUCCUCUACCAAUUCUGGAUCAACUUUCGACGGAGGCGUCGUCUCACAGAGUUACUCAACGAGAACUCUUCUCGUGCCCUGUCCGAGAGUCCAGACAGCCCCUUCUGUCUUCGCAAGCUCAACCCGGAUCCAGGCAACACCAGCUUUCUCUCUGUCCAGACCAACAAGGAGAUCAAAAUUGUCUCAGCAGUUCGAAGGAGCAGCAUCACUUCCCUUGCUGGAAACUCCAACCCCUACUUCAGCACUACUCCGACGUUGGUAUUUCCUCCUGUGGCUGAGUGCAACCCCAAAUCAGUGUUAAAGAGACCCGUCACCAAUGAAGAGCUCCUGUCCCCCGGGGCCCCCUACAUCAAGAAAACGCUAACUUCACAUUGGAUGGCCGCAGUAUUACAGCAAACUGCUCUGUCAGACUGAGAUCAGAGUGGGAAAAAUUAAGAGUGGCUACUUCCACCCUGGAAAUGCUCUCCUGUGCCAAGGAAAAGGCACCGUGUGCGUGCUCUGGAAAUGUUCUCAACACGUUCUUGGUGCAUGCCUUGCACUUCAACUUCAUGCUGCCUGUGAUUCACUCUUCUGCACUCACUGGCAGGGAAUAUUAAUCAGAAAGCAGCUUUGCAGAGAGCAACUGAUCUGUGGUUCUGUCUCUCACUUGGUGCACAGCCCUUUCUCUACCACCCAUGACAGACUAGGAUCAUGAGCAGAGCUCUCCAUCUCACUAGGAACUGUUGUAUUUCCUCUAUCCAGCCCAUUCCUUGGUUUCUAAAACCCUUUUGUUCUGCUUGUAGAUUGUGGGGGAUGCGGUGGGCUGGGGGUUUGUGGUCCGAGGAGGAAGACCUUGCCACAUCCAGGCGGUGGACCCAGGAGGACCUGCUGCUGCUGCAGGGAUGAAGGUGUGCCAGUUUGUUUUCUCAGUGAAUG